ensembl:rRNA 5S_rRNA 5S ribosomal RNA
UAUAGCGGCCAUCCAACACUGAGCCCGACCAAUCUCGUACGACCUCGGAAGCUAAGCAGUGCUGGGCCUGGUUAGUACUUGGAUGGGAGACCACCUGGGAACACCAGGUGCUGUAAACU